rnacentral:rRNA from 1 species
CUGGACGCUUCUGGUCGAUCGCUUGCUUCAAGCGGUCCAGUUGUUCGCAGUAGAUGGUAGAAUUAAGCGUCUGGCCAUAUGGGAGCAGCUCAUAGUGGAUGAUUCCCUUCCAAUCCCACCAACCACACAGCAAAACCUUCCUGGCCGUCAAUCCCGGCUUGGCCACUGUUUGGGACGAUUCACCGGCCUUCGACCACGACCGUUUUCGCUUGAUAUUGUCGUCCGCUUCAAGAAUGGGUCGAGUUCGUUCCGUUUCAGCAGCAUAUCGCAGGCGUUGAUUCGGUCCAGAAGGUUGUUUUGCGUCAAAUCAUGCGGCACCCAAACAUCAAGCUUUUUUUUGUAUCCAGCCUUCUGCAGAUGGUUUAAAAUGGUUUGGUGACUAACUCCCAUCUCCUGGGCGAUGUCACGAGAUGCCACAUGCCGGUCUAACUCGAUGUAUUCCAUGAUUUGAUCGGUAUUUGUCGUCACAGGACUUCCGCCGGCUGGCUUAUCCAUGGUGUCGUUUUCACCGGCUCUGAAUCGUCGAAACCAUUCCUCCGCGGUUCGAAGUGAUAGAGUACCAUCCCCCAAAACACCAUUAAUCUCACGGAACGUUUCUCUGGCGGAUUUGCCUUUAACGAAGGAAAACUUUAAAAUAGCGCGAAUUUCGGCGUUAGUGAACUCCAUGCUUACACGUCUAUAACUGUUGAACGCAAUAUCCAAACUAAUCAUAGCGUCGUUUUGUAGGUUAUGUCAAGACCUUUCAAAUUAUGUAUAGUAUUGCCAGAUACGAGCUCUGUAGCGCUUUGUACAUAGCCGCGAAAUUCAAAAGACAAAAAGGCGGAAGGGAGAUAUUUACCAAACUAAUACAUACUGUUGUGUCGAUAUUUUCUCCUCGGACCUUGAAAAUUUAUGGUGGGGACACGCAAACUUCUCAACAGGCCGUACCAAUAUCCGCAGCUGGUCUCCAAGGUGAAGAGUCUCUAGUCGAUAAAAUAAUGUAGGUAAGGGAAGUCGGCAAAUUAGAUCCGUAACUUCGGGAUAAGGAUUGGCUCUGAAGAUUGAGAUAGUCGGGCUUGAUUGGGAAACAAUAACAUGGUUUAUGUGCUCGUUAUGCGCUACUUGUUCCCCGGAUAGUUUAGUUACGUAGCCAAUUGUGGAACUUUCUUGCUAAAAUUUUUAAGAAUGCUAUUUGGGUUAAACCAAUUAGUUCUCAUUAAUUAUAACGAUUAUCAAUUAACAAUCAAUUCAGAACUGGCACGGACUUGGGGAAUCCGACUGUCUAAUUAAAACAAAGCACUGUGAUGGCCCUAGCGGGUGUUGACACAAUGUGAUUUCUGCCCAGUGCUCUGAAUGUCAAAGUGAAGAAAUUCAAGUAAGCGCGGGUCAACGGCGGGAGUGACUAUGACUCUCUUAAGGUAGCCAAAUGCCUCGUCAUCUAAUUAGUGACGCGCCUGAAUGGAUUAACGAGAUUCCCACUGUCCCUAUCUCGGGUGCUGUGACCCAUAGAACAGUAGAGAUUUUAGGUAGAUCUAGCUCCUCAGCAAGGGGGAGUGCUUGCCCGGCAAGCAAGCACUCCAAUUGCUACCGGGGUGGUCGCUAUGUACAUAGCUAUAGCUUCCAGACCGGGACGUUUUGUCUAGCGUAUUUGGACACAUGCAUCAUAUGCUCACUUGUGGGUGUAUAGGGUGCCGUGGUUGUAAUCCCUUCAAUGUGGAACACGCCACGUAAAACAAGUUCGGAGGGAUCGGAUUCAUACAUACACUGUCCCUAUCUACUAUCUAGCGAAACCACAGCCAAGGGAACGGGCUUGGAAUAAUUAGCGGGGAAAGAAGACCCUUUUGAGCUUGACUCUAAUCUGGCAGUGUAAGGAGACAUAAGAGGUGUAGAAUAAGUGGGAGAUAUUAGACCUCGGUUUGGUAUUGUCAAUGAAAUACCACUACUCUUAUUGUUUCCUUACUUACUUGAUUAAAUGGAACGUGUAUCAUUUCCUAGCUAUUAAACGGAUAUAUUUAUUAUAUCUUAUGGUAUUGGGUUUUGAUGCAAGCUUCUUGAUCAAAGUAUCACGAGUUUGUUAUAUAAUCGCAAACAAAUUCUUUAAUAAAACGAUGCAUUUAUGUAUUUUUGAUUUGAAAAUUUGGUAUAACUCCAAUUACACAGGUAUGAUCCAAUUCAAGGACAUUGCCAGGUAGGGAGUUUGCCUGGGGCGGUACAUCUCUCAAAUAAUAACGGAGGUGUUCCAAGGCCAGCUCAGUGCGGACAGAAACCACACAUAGAGCAAAAGGGCAAAUGCUGACUUGAUCUCGGUGUUCAGUACACACAGGGACAGCAAAAGCUCGGCCUAUCGAUCCUUUUGGUUUAAAGAGUUUUUAACAAGAGGUGUCAGAAAAGUUACCAUAGGGAUAACUGGCUUGUGGCGGCCGAGCGUUCAUAGCGACGUCGCUUUUUGAUCCUUCGAUGUCGGCUCUUUCUAUCAUUGUGAAGCAAAAUUCACCGAGCGUUGGAUUGUUCACCCAUGCAAGGGAACGUGAGCUGGGAUUAGACCGUCGUGAGACAGGUUAGUUUUACCCUACUAAUGACAAAACGUUGUUGCGACAGCAUUCCUGCGUAGUACGAGAGGAACCGCAGGUACGGACCAAUGGCACAAUACUUGUUCGAGCGAACAGCAUAUAAAUAAGCAGCAUACAUAUAAAAGCAUUAUUUAAUACAAUGACAAAGCCUAGAAUCAAUUGUAAACGAUUUUUGUAACAGGCAAGGUGUUGUAAGUGGUUGAGCAGCUGCCAUACUGCGAUCCACUGAAGCUUAUCAUUUGCUUGAUGAUU